rnacentral:rRNA from 1 species
CGGCGCGGCGCCUUCCGAGUUCCCUGGAACGGGACGCCACAGAGGGUGAGAGCCCCGUACGGUCGGACGCCCAGCCACUGUAAAGCUCCCUCGACGAGUCGAGUAGUUUGGGAAUGCUGCUCUAAACGGGAGGUAUAUGUCUUCUAAAGCUAAAUACUGGCCAGAGACCGAUAGCGCACAAGUAGAGUGAUCGAAAGAUGAAAAGCACUUUGAAAAGAGAGUUAAAGAGCACGUGAAAUUGUUGAAAGGGAAGCGCUCGAGACCAGACUUGGGCCCGGGGGAUCACCCGGCGUUCUCGCCGGUGCACUCCGCCGGGCCCAGGCCAGCAUCAGUUCGCCGCGGGGGACAAAGGCGCCGGGAACGUGGCUCCCCCAGUUGGGGAGUGUUUAUAGCCCGGCGUGCAAUGCCCCGCGCGCGGACUGAGGCACGCGCUCCGCAAGGAUGCUGGCGUAAUGGUCCCCAGCGACCCGUCUUGAAACACGGACCAAGGAGUCGUCCUCGUAUGCGAGUGUUCGGGCGUCAAACCCCUACGCGUAAUGAAAGUGAACGCAGGUGAGAGCUUCGGCGCACCACCGACCGAUCCCGAUGGCCCGCCCGGACGGAUUUGAGUAAGAGCAUACGGGGCCGGACCCUGAAAGAAGGUGAACUAUGC